GUGCUCACUUCGGCAGCACACACGCGGAAACGGAAACAAUACGGAGAAGGUUAGCGUGGCGCUGCACAGGGACGACACGCGCACGCGUGAGGCGUUCCGCGUUUUG